GACGAACGCUGGCGGCGUGCUUAACACAUGCAAGUCGAACGGAAAGGCCUGCUUUCCCUUGUGGAUUGCGGGUACUCGAGUGGCGAACGGGUGAGUAACACGUGAGUGAUCUGCCCCCAACUUGGGUAUAAGCCUGGGAAACUGGGUCUAAUUCCCGAUAGGACUGCAGGGUGGUGCCUGUGGUGGAAAACGAUUUUCUAGUGGUUGGGGAUGAGCUCGCGGCCUAUCAGCGUGUUGGUGGGGUAAUGGCCUACCAAGGCGGCGACGGGUAGCCGGCCUGAGAGGGUGGACGGCCACAUUGGGACUGAGAUACGGCCCAGACUCCUACGGGAGGCAGCAGUGGGGAAUAGUGCACAAUGGGCGGAAGCCUGAUGCAGCGACGCCGCGUGGGGGAUGACGGCCUUCGGGUUGUAAACUCCUUUCGACCGCGAGGAAGCCACCUGGUUGGAAGGGUGGUGACGGUAGUGGUAGAAGAAGCACCGGCUAACUACGUG
rnacentral:rRNA from 1 species